UACGUAGGGAGCAAGCGUUGUCCGGAAUCAUUGGGCGUAAAGCGCGCGUAGGUGGCCAUGUAAGUCCGCUGUGAAAGUCAAAGGCUCAACCGUUUGAAAAGCCCGGGUGGAUACUGCACGGGCUAGAGUACGGAAGGGGCGAGUGGAAUUCCUCGGUGUAGCGGUGGAAUGCGCAGAUAUCAGGAGGAACACCAAUAGCGAAGGCAGCUCGCUGGGACGUUACUGACACUGGAGGCGACGAAAGCCGUGGGGAGCGAACAGG
rnacentral:rRNA from 1 species